rnacentral:rRNA from 1 species
GGGCCCGCACAAGCGGUGGAGCAUGUGGUUUAAUUCGAUGAUACGCGAGGAACCUUACCAGGGUUUAAAUGCAGAACGACAGGGGUGGAAACACCCCCUUCUUCGGACGGACUGCAAGGUGCUGCAUGGUUGUCGUCAGCUCGUGCUGUGAAGUGUCGGGUUAAGUCCCAUAACGAGCGCAACCCCCAUUUCUAGUUGCCAGCGGUUCGGCCGGGGACUCUAGAGAAACUGCCAGCGUAAGCUGUGAGGAAGGUGGGGAUGACGUCAAAUCAUCACGGCCCUUACAUCCUGGGCCACACACGUGCUACAAUGGUGGGGACAACAGGUUGCCAACCCGCGAGGGUGAGCCAAUCCCAAAACCCCAUCUCAGUUCGGAUCGGAGUCUGCAACUCGACUCCGUGAAGUUGGAAUCGCUAGUAAUCGC